AUCUGAAACAGUAAACAGAGAUAAGAUACUGUAAAGAGGCAAGGGAGGGGCAGUGUUAGUGGGAUCACUGAGUUCACUAAACAGACUGUUUGAACAAGCUGGAAGAAGAAAAAAAUCUUGGCUGUGUUACCUGAAGUUCCUCAGAGCUAAGACUGCCAAGAGGUGAGCUCUGGUAAUUAAUUACAACAUAUGUCAAGUGAAAUGUUCUCAGAAAGAAAAUUGUGAAAUUGCAAAUAGCAUUAAUCAUCUAAGUCUGCAGAGGGUGUUAUAUAUUUACCAUUGGUUGCUGUAGCAUGUAUACAAUCUGUGGAUUCUGUGGAUGAGAAUUCGGUUAGAUAAUUGUAACUCUUUUUUCUUUUUUUUUGCCUUAUUCUGCAUUAUGUAUAUGCAGAGACACCUGUUGUUGCAGCUGCUGCUGUGGCUGCUGUAUUCCCUGAGUUGCAUCUAUUGAAGGAGCAACUGCAACUCCUGCAGCAUUUUCUGCAGGGUUUUAGGGUGUUUCCUGUCUCCAGCAAGCGUGUCUCUUAGCUUACCAGCUGAUUCCCAUAGUGUGAGGAGAACAGCGCUCCCCCGCCUCCUCCUACUAGAGGCUGCUGUGGCAGUGUCAGCUGGUGGGGUCCAUAGAAGAGUGGCUGCAUGGGCAUGCCCCCUUGUGGAUACCAGGGGUACUGUUGCAGUGAAGGAAUGGGCUGUGGAUCAGGCUGCUGUAGACCUCCUGCCUGUGGCUGAACACUGGGAGAAAUAGAGGCUGGCGUAGGAGAUUCGGGUUUCUGGUUUGCGGCUACAACGUGCUGAGCACCUUGAGUUGCUGUUUCCCCUCCUUGUAACAGCAGGGGACGACGGACAUUUGAAUUGACCUGAAAAAGAAAGAAAGAAAGAAGAUGGUAAAAUUAUCACUGAGUCACAGAGUUCAUAGAAUGUCAAAUGUUAAUUAAAUGACAACCAGUAUUAAAUGAAUAAACAUAAAAUUAUCUAAUUAUAUCAAGUAUUGUAUUUUAAACCAUAUUCUAUUAGUCUACUUACUGGUACUGCAGAGACUUCUAUGGUAAAGCAUAACAGCAGCGUUAUGAUAAUCAUUUCCAAAGGGAGAACAAAAUCGAUAUGGUUUUUAAUCAGUUCCACUGGAUCAGUGGGUGCUUUAAGGACUAUCUCCGUGGAGCACUCAGGAGUAAAUUCAUUGAAACUGUAUGGAGGGGUCCUUCAACUUAUGCACUGCUCACAAACUGGAUCAACCAAUCACAUGGCAGACUGAAGAAAGAUAAAUUCAACCUAAUCGUCUGCUGAAUGAAGCAGGGAGGUGGAAACCAAAGAAAAUCUAAUAAGUGUCCUAAACGGCAUGUUUUUCUUCAAUUAUGAUGGUGUAAUGUCUCUUGAAAUAAUUAAACAAACGCAUGAGA